rnacentral:rRNA from 1 species
AACGAACGCUGGCGGCAUGCCUAACACAUGCAAGUCGAACGAGACCUUCGGGUCUAGUGGCGCACGGGUGCGUAACGCGUGGGAAUCUGCCCUUCGGUUGGGAAUAACUGAGAGAAAUUUCAGCUAAUACCUUAUAAUGUCUUCGGACCAAAGAUUUAUCGCCGAGGGAUGAGCCCGCGUAGGAUUAGGUAGUUGGUGGGGUAAUGGCCUACCAAGCCGACGAUCCUUAGCUGGUCUGAGAGGAUGAUCAGCCACACUGGGACUGAGACACGGCCCAGACUCCUACGGGAGGCAGCAGUGGGGAAUAUUGGACAAUGGGCGAAAGCCUGAUCCAGCAAGGCCGCGUGAGUGAUGAAGGCCUUAGGGUUGUAAAGCUCUUUUACCCGGGAUGAUAAUGACAGUACCGGGAGAAUAAGCACCGGCUAACUCCGUG